AUUGAACGCUGGCGGCAUGCCUUACACAUGCAAGUCGAACGGCAGCACGGGAGCAAUCCUGGUGGCGAGUGGCGAACGGGUGAGUAAUAUAUCGGAACGUGCCCAGUCGUGGGGGAUAACGCAGCGAAAGCUGUGCUAAUACCGCAUACGAUCUAAGGAUGAAAGCGGGGGAUCGCAAGACCUCGCGCGAUUGGAGCGGCCGAUAUCAGAUUAGCUAGUUGGUGGGGUAAAGGCCCCCCAAGGCGACGAUCUGUAGCUGGUCUGAGAGGACGACCAGCCACACUGGAACUGAGACACGGUCCAGACUCCUACGGGAGGCAGCAGUGGGGAAUUUUGGACAAUGGUCGCAAGCCUGAUCCAGCAAUGCCGCGUGCAGGAUGAAGGCCUUCGGGUUGUAAACUGCUUUUGUACGGAACGAAACGGCCCUUUCUAAUACAGGGGGCUAAUGACGGUACCGUAAGAAUAAGCACCGGCUAACUACGUGCCAGCCGCCGCGGUAA
rnacentral:rRNA from 1 species